rnacentral:rRNA from 1 species
AUUGAACGCUGGCGGCAGGCCUAACACAUGCAAGUCGAGCGGGGCGGCGGGCGGGUGGGUGAUGACUAGGAAUCUGCCUGGUCGUGAGGGGUAGAGUCCGGAAACGGGCGCUAAUACCGCAUACUCUCAGAUGGGCGUAGAUGGGAUUAGCUAGUUGGUGGGGUAAGGGCUUACCAAGGCGAGGAUCCGUACCUGGUCUGAGAGGAUGAUCAGUCACACUGGAACUGAGACACGGUCCAGACUCCUACGGGAGGCAGCAGUGGGGAAUAUUGGACAAUGGGCGAAAGCCUGAUGCAGCCAUGCCGCGUGUGUGAAGAAGGCCUUCGGAUUGUAAAGUACUUUAAGUUGGGAGGCGUUACCCGCAGAAGAAGCACCGGCUAACUCCGUGCCAGCAGCCGCGGUAAUUC